GAUGAACGCCGGCGGCGUGCUUAACACAUGCAAGUCGAGCGAGAAGUUUUGAAAAGAUUCUUCGGAUGAAAUUUAAAAUGGAAAGCGGCGGACGGGUGAGUAACGCGUAGGCAACCUGCCCCAUACAAAGGGAUAGCAUUUGGAAACGAAUAUUAAUACCUUAUGAAACUUAACUAGUGCAUGCUAGGUAGGUCAAAGAUUUAUCGGUAUGGGAUGGGCCUGCGUCUGAUUAGCUAGUUGGUGAGGUAACGGCUCACCAAGGCGACGAUCAGUAGCCGACCUGAGAGGGUGAACGGCCACAUUGGAACUGAGACACGGUCCAAACUCCUACGGGAGGCAGCAGCGGGGAAUAUUGCACAAUGGGGGAAACCCUGAUGCAGCAACGCCGCGUGAACGAUGAAGGCCUUUGGGUCGUAAAGUUCUGUUCUAGGUGAUGAAAACUGACAGUAACCUAGGAGAAAGCCCCGGCUAACUCCGUG
rnacentral:rRNA from 1 species